rnacentral:misc_RNA from 1 species
AAGUCGUAACAAGGUUUCCGUAGGUGAACCUGCGGAAGGAUCAUCAUUGUAGGAGUGAGGUCCCUUUUUUUUGAGGCCUUAACAACCUUUUUAGAGUCCCAGCAAACAGACAGCAAGGGGGAGCAAUUGGCUGAAAUAGGAAGCGGAGGGAAAAGCAAGAAACAACUUUCAACAACGGAUCUCUUGGCUCUCA